GGGGGGAGGCCGGAUCCUGGGCUGUGUCCGUGGCGCCGUGGGCUCCUGGGCCUGCGCUGUUGGAGUCGCGCUCCCGGUGGAGCAGCCGCCU
rnacentral:pre_miRNA from 1 species